rnacentral:rRNA from 1 species
AGUGAACGCUGGCGGUAGGCCUAACACAUGCAAGUCGAACGGCAGCACAGUAAGAGCUUGCUCUUACGGGUGGCGAGUGGCGGACGGGUGAGGAAUACAUCGGAAUCUACUUUUUCGUGGGGGAUAACGUAGGGAAACUUACGCUAAUACCGCAUACGACCUACGGGUGAAAGCAGGGGAUCUUCGGACCUUGCGCGAUUGAAUGAGCCGAUGUCGGAUUAGCUAGUUGGCGGGGUAAAGGCCCACCAAGGCGACGAUCCGUAGCUGGUCUGAGAGGAUGAUCAGCCACACUGGAACUGAGACACGGUCCAGACUCCUACGGGAGGCAGCAGUGGGGAAUAUUGGACAAUGGGCGCAGGCCUGAUCCAGCCAUACCGCGUGUGUGAAGAAGGCCUUCGGGUUGUAAAGCCCUUUUGUUGGGAAAGAAAAGCAGCAGGUUAAUACCCCGCUGUUCUGACGGUACCCAAAGAAUAAGCACCGGCUAACUUCGUG